rfam:Triticum aestivum genome assembly, contig: Triticum_aestivum_CS42_TGACv1_scaffold_581597_7BL
AUUGUACUCCCUCCGUCUGGAAAUACUUGUCGCAGAAAUGCUAAAAAAUGGAUGUCUAGAACUAAAAUACGUCUAGAUACAUCCAUUCAUCCGACAAGUAUUUCCGAACGGAGGGAAUAACAA